rnacentral:rRNA from 1 species
CGCGCAGGCGGCCAGGUCAGUCGAAUGUGAAAGCCCCCGGCUCAACUGGGGAGGGUCAUUCGAUACUGCCUGGCUCGAAGAUAGGAGAGGGAAGUGGAAUUUCAGGUGUAGUGGUGAAAUGCGUAGAUAUCUGAAGGAACACCAGUGGCGAAGGCGACUUUCUGGCCUAUUCUUGACGCUGAGGCGCGAAAGCUAGGGGAGCGAACG